AGGUGGGAGGCCAGCACCACGUCCGGCCGCCUUUGUGUCCCCAGUGGCGAUGUUUAAACACCGCUUUUGAGCCUGAUAAGUUGUCAUCACGAGCAGCAUCGGCUUCAUAAACUUCAUAGCCACGAUCAUCAUCGAUUGUGUGAACUUUAUUUGUUUGACCCACAGAUGACAGCCGGUCAUCAUCGACCAAGAUCAGUCCACUGCUGGAUGAAGGCCUCCCCAAGCCGUCACUCACGAUCCUGCGAUCGACUCAAGUCAAUUCGACCGAGCCCCUUCGACCGAACGCCAACAACAGCCACACGUCGGAGCAGCCUCAAGCCCAGGAGGAUUUCAUUCACAGCACAAAAGCCUUGCGGCUGGUGGCAUCUUCUGCAGUGAGCGAUGACAGCCGGUCAUCAUCGACCAAGAUGAGUCCACUGCUGGACGAAGGCCUCCCCAAGCCGUCGGCAUCACUCACGACCCUGCGAUCGGCUCAAGUCAAUUCCACCGAGCCCCUUCAACCGAACGCAAACAACAGCCACGUGCCGGACGACGCUCACGGC